rnacentral:rRNA from 1 species
UACGUAGGGUGCGAGCGUUAAUCGGAAUUACUGGGCGUAAAGAGUGCGCAGGCGGCUUCGCAAGUCGAGUGUGAAAUCCCCGAGCUUAACUCGGGAAUUGCGCUCGAAACUACGGAGCUGGAGUGUGGCAGAGGAAGGUGGAAUUCCACGUGUAGCGGUGAAACGCGUAGAGAUGUGGAGGAACACCGAUGGCGAAGGCAGCCUUCUGGGCCAACACUGACGCUCAUGCACGAAAGCGUGGGGAGCAAACAGG